rnacentral:rRNA from 1 species
UGGGGGAUAUUGCACAAUGGGCGAAAGCCUGAUGCAGCAACGCCGCGUGAGGGAAGACGGUUUUCGGAUUGUAAACCUCUGUCUUCGGUGAAGAAAAAAAUGACGGUAGCCGAGGAGGAAGCCACGGCUAACUACGUGCCAGCAGCCGCGGUAAUACGUAGGUGGCGAGCGUUGUCCGGAAUUACUGGGUGUAAAGGGAGCGCAGGCGGGGAAACAAGUCAGCUGUGAAAACCAUGGGCUUAACCCAUAAACUGCAGUUGAAACUGUUUUUCUUGAGUGGAGUAGAGGUAGGCGGAAUUCCGAGUGUAGCGGUGAAAUGCGUAGAUAUUCGGAGGAACACCAGUGGCGAAGGCGGCCUACUGGGCUCUAACUGACGCUGAGGCUCGAAAGUGUGGGGAGCAAACA